AUGAACGCUAGCUACAGGCUUAACACAUGCAAGUCGAGGGGCAGCAUUUCAGUUUGCUUGCAAACUGGAGAUGGCGACCGGCGCACGGGUGAGUAACACGUAUCCAACCUGCCGAUAACUCGGGGAUAGCCUUUCGAAAGAAAGAUUAAUACCCGAUGGUAUAAUCAGACCGCAUGGUCUUGUUAUUAAAGAAUUUCGGUUAUCGAUGGGGAUGCGUUCCAUUAGGCAGUUGGUGAGGUAACGGCUCACUAAACCUUCGAUGGAUAGGGGUUCUGAGAGGAAGGUCCCCCACAUUGGAACUGAGACACGGUCCAAACUCCUACGGGAGGCAGCAGUGAGGAAUAUUGGUCAAUGGGCGCAGGCCUGAACCAGCCAAGUAGCGUGAAGGAUGACUGCCCUAUGGGUUGUAAACUUCUUUUAUAUGGGAAUAAAGUUUUCCACGUGUGGAAUUUUGUAUGUACCAUAUGAAUAAGGAUCGGCUAACUCCGUGCCAGCAGCCGCGGUAAUACGGAGGAUCCGAGCGUUAUCCGGAUUUAUUGGGUUUAAAGGGAGCGUAGGUGGACAGUUAAGUCAGUUGUGAAAGUUUGCGGCUCAACCGUAAAAUUGCAGUUGAUACUGGUUGUCUUGAGUACAGUAGAGGUGGGCGGAAUUCGUGGUGUAGCGGUGAAAUGCUUAGAUAUCACGAAGAACUCCGAUUGCGAAGGCAGCUCACUGGACUGCAACUGACACUGAUGCUCGAAAGUGUGGGUAUCAAACAGGAUUAGAUACCCUGGUAGUCCACACAGUAAACGAUGAAUACUCGCUGUUUGCGAUAUACAGUAAGCGGCCAAGCGAAAGCAUUAAGUAUUCCACCUGGGGAGUACGCCGGCAACGGUGAAACUCAAAGGAAUUGACGGGGGCCCGCACAAGCGGAGGAACAUGUGGUUUAAUUCGAUGAUACGCGAGGAACCUUACCCGGGCUUAAAUUGCAUUUGAAUAUAUUGGAAACAGUAUAGCCGUAAGGCAAAUGUGAAGGUGCUGCAUGGUUGUCGUCAGCUCGUGCCGUGAGGUGUCGGCUUAAGUGCAUAACGAGCGCAACCCUUAUCUUUAGUUACUAACAGGUCAUGCUGAGGACUCUAGAGAGACUGCCGUCGUAAGAUGUGAGGAAGGUGGGGAUGACGUCAAAUCAGCACGGCCCUUACGUCCGGGGCUACACACGUGUUACAAUGGGGGGUACAGAAGGCAGCUACCUGGUGACAGGAUGCUAAUCCCAAAAGCCUCUCUCAGUUCGGAUCGAAGUCUGCAACCCGACUUCGUGAAGCUGGAUUCGCUAGUAAUCGCGCAUCAGCCAUGGCGCGGUGAAUACGUUCCCGGGCCUUGUACACACCGCCCGUCAAGCCAUGAAAGCCGGGGGUACCUGAAGUACGUAACCGCAAGGAGCGUCCUAGGGUAAAACUGGUAAUUGGGGCU
rnacentral:rRNA from 1 species